rnacentral:rRNA from 1 species
UGGGGAAUAUUGGGCAAUGGGCGAAAGCCUGACCCAGCAACGCCGCGUGGAGGAAGAAGGUUUUCGGAUCGUAAACUCCCGUCCUCAGGGAAGAGAAGGAGACGGUACCUGAGGAGGAAGCCCCGGCUAACUACGUGCCAGCAGCCGCGGUAAUACGUAGGGGGCAAGCGUUGUCCGGAAUGAUUGGGCGUAAAGGGCGCGUAGGCGGCCCGGUAAGUCUGGAGUGAAAGUCCUGCUUUCAAGGUGGGAAUUGCUUUGGAUACUGAUGGGCUGGAGUGCAGGAGAGGAAAGCGGAAUUACCGGUGUAGCGGUGAAAUGCGUAGAGAUCGGUAGGAACACCAGUGGCGAAGGCGGCUUUCUGGACUGAAACUGACGCUGAGGCGCGAAAGCGUGGGGAGCAAACAGGAUUAGAUACCCUGGUAGU